GGAGUGGAGCCUGCGGCUUAAUUUGACUCAACACGGGGAACCUCACCCGGCCCGGACACCGCGAGGAUUGACAGAUUGAGAGCUCUUUCUCGAUUCGGUGGGUGGUGGUGCAUGGCCGUUCUUAGUUGGUGGAGCGAUUUGUCUGGUUAAUUCCGAUAACGAACGAGACUCUAGCCGGUUAAGUAGCCCGAGCGGUUUUUGAUCUUUGCCGUUCAUCCCCGUUCGGCCUUUGCGUCGUCCCCUUUUUUUUUCUUUGUUUCGGUCCGUCUCCGUCGUUUUUCCGUUUUCUCUCGUUUCCCGAUCCCUCGCCGUCCCGUCGACUCGUUCGACGGGUGCCGGCGGUUUUCGUGGUCUCGAGGGGGGCGGGGCGGCGGAACGGUCCGUUCAGGAGGAGGGGGUAUACGCUCGGCCGUUUCGGGGUGAAAGCAUAACCGAAGGCCGCCGGCUUUUAAGGAAGCUUCUUAGAGGGACGAGCGGCGUUCAGCCGCCCGAGAUUGAGCGAUAACAGGUCUGUGAUGCCCUUAGAUGUCCGGGGCCGCACGCGCGCUACACUGAAGGGUUCAGCGUGCUAGUUUCUCCCGGGCCGUCAGGCUCGGGGAACCCGUUGAAACCCUUUCGUGCUAGGGACAGGGACUUGCAAUUGUGUCCCUCCAACGAGGAAUUCCCAGUAAGCGCGAGUCAUCAGCUCGCGUUGAUUACGUCCCUGCCCUUUGUACACACCGCCCGUCGCUACUACCGAUUGAACGAUUUAGUGAGGUCUUCGGACCGGUGGUCGUUCCGCGAUCGGGUCAGGGAUGGGACUCGCGCCCAUUCCUCCCGCGCGGGGUCGGCCGGCCGGGAAGAUGCCC
rnacentral:rRNA from 1 species